rnacentral:rRNA from 1 species
UACAUAGGUCCCAGGCGUUGUUCGGAUUCAUUGGGCGUAAAGGGUGCGUAGGCGGCGCGGUAAGUCGGGUGUGAAAUCUCGGAGCUUAACUCCGAAACUGCAUUCGAUACUGCCGUGCUUGAGGACUGGAGAGGAGACUGGAAUUUACGGUGUAGCGGUGAAAUGCGUAGAUAUCGUAAGGAAGACCAGUGGCGAAGGCGGGUCUCUGGACAGUUCCUGACGCUGAGGCACGAAGGCCAGGGGAGCAAACGGG